CAAGGAGAAUAUGCGUUUGAAUAAGCCAAUGUAAACUAUAAUAAUAUAUUUUAGAGUUAGAAGUUCAGGUAACUUCCUAUAGAACUAUAACGGAUUCGGCAAAUAUUUACGAAAAAUCUGGCGAUAUUUCGCAAAGGGGCAAAGUGUUCUAGCUUGUUAUCAGAUUUCUAAGCAACCGUGUACACUUGCAUGAUUCACUCGAGUAGUUCUAGAAACAGGUAACACGCGUGCACAUGUUACGUGAAACGAUAAUACGUCCGUGCUCUGAAAUCUGUUUGUCAAAGCAACCGCGUUUAUCUUCGCAAGAGAUUCCUUAAUUCUAAUUCAAAUCUCACAAUUUCUGGAGCAUGGCCGACCGGCGUACAUACAGUCGACACAUACAGUCAGCCACGAAAGUCUACGUACGCCUAUCGAAUUUCGUGUAUCCGACUCACUGAAGAAACUGAAAACGCACUUUGACGCGAUAUUAUUUAUAUUUAUAUGUGAACGCGAUCGGCAUUCCGCAAGGAAUUACAAAAAUUAAAACAUUUAACUCGGAAAAAUCUCGAGAUAAAAUUACGCGAGAAAUUACAAAACCUUUGAUUUCAUCGAUGCCAAGGAGAUACCGUUAUUAUUAAUGAUUACGCAGGGAGGUGGAGGCUGCAAGAUAUUGAUAUAAUAUUAAGCUUAAAUCUUUUUAAUCUUUUUUUUGUUUUUUUUUUUUUUUUGGUAAAAAUGAACUUGAAUAAAUCCUGUUACAGUCGAAUAAUAUCUGUUUUAACAGUUAUAUAAUAAACUUUUUAUUAUAAUUCUAUACUUGCGGAAUAUAUGUAGACUUUCGCGACUGACUGUAUGCAUACUCGCGGUGAAAUCAAAGUGCUAUCGUCGGAUCCAUGACCACUUUUACAAAAUGUUGGUUUGGAAGCUGAGGUCAUCGAGGAAUCGUCGGAAAUUCGAGGAAUGAUCGUGUGAUGCGAAUUACGAUUGUAAAUCUGAAUUCUGUUUCAAAAAGCGGGCCAUUUUCGAGGCGCAACCGUGUCGCUUCGAGCCCUUGAAACCGCGUGUGUGACUCUGUAUAUCUCGCAUGGCAACAGUCGCCCUUAAUUCGCGUUGCAAACUCGAGGCAAUAAAUGCGCGCGUAUGCGUGUUCCUUUCGCAAAGUAUACAAUCCUCUUUGGCGCGAAUAGUCGGAGAAAUUGAUUCAUAAACGUGCCGAUGAGACGAAACGAAGCUCAUUUAUUAUCGAUAGAACGAUAUAUGUAAGUAUAUUAAGAAUUCAACAAAUAUAAUUAGAAGAUCGGUAGAAUUAGAGUAAUAAUUGGAAAUAUAAUUAGAAUAAUCGGUAUUGAUAAGAUAUGUCUUUGGUAUCGAUACAAAAAUAUUUAUUGAGAAACUAUGAACGUUGCGUAUUUAUGUUAACCAAAUUAGUAAGGAUUUUUCUGUAUAUAAAUGGUUUCCUUAUUUCUCGUGAGCAAAUAUCAAAGUAUGAUGCGUCGUAGAUUAGCCGGGAGAGCAAGAGCAAAUACGUCGCAGACUCUGCGACGACAGUCAGCCUGCCGGAAAUGUUUGUGGUGGUAUCGUGACAGAAACCAGUUGGAAGAAGCUGAGAUUCCGAACGAAAUCGAGUAAUCAGAAAAUAGUUACAGGAGGAAAGACAGAGACAGAUGAAAGACGCUAGUUGGAGAGUCAAUUUACAAAGAAGGAAAAGAUUCUCGGCCGAUACUCCUCUCCGAAGAUUGAUCGCGUGCUUCGGUAGAACAUGAAAAUAAACUUGACAAAUAUUCUCGAAUGCUCGGUUUAUAAAAAUUCAGCAUUUUUUAAUGACCCCUAAUCUACAAGUCUAUAAGGCGAAAGGUGCGACGGAACGAGGUAAUAAAAGGUAGUAAAAUUGUUUUUUUUUUUCGGUUCUUUUUACAUAAUUGGAGAGAAAACGAAAGGAAGAGUACAACUCGAAGAAAAGAUAGUAGAUUAGAACAGUAAAACCAUAAAAUGGUCGUUUCUUUUUAUAUUUUAAACAUGCACCGUGAUUGCACGAUAUAUUUGUGAUUCUUCGGCUUUCUCAAUCGUGUCGUUUGAUACUCGCAUUGUCUCGCGUCCCGACGUUUUGUGAACAUAGCCAGUUCGCUUCUUCAGGAACAAAACGUAAUGCAUUGACAACACCAUUGAAACCCGAAUAAUCGCGAAUAUGUUAUUAAAAAAAUGAUAGAUAGUUAGUAGUACAGAGCGUAAAGAAAUUUAAACGGGGCGCAAUAGAGGCUUUCUUAAAGAAAGGGGUGGGUGGUUCGAUUUGAGUCCAGUAAAAUCGGGAUGGCGGUGGACACCGGCGCGGCGCGGAGCGGCACGGCCCAGUUCUCAUGCACGUCGACAAGGUCUCCGUUCGCCCCGGGCGAUCGGUACACAUGCGCCGACGAGUUGCUGCGAUUACGUAACUCAUCUUCUCCGACCUUACGCUCUUCUCCUUUUCUUGCUCUUGUUCCUCUUCUUCUUCUUCUUCUUCUUCUUCUUCUUCUUUCUCUUUAUCUUUUUCUUCUUCUUCAUCUUCUUCUUCUUCUUCGUCUUCUUCUUGUUCGUUUCGAUCCGGUUAUUCGCUGUGCCUUUUAUCGACGUUGUCGCGAGGAUAGCAGCCACGUUGUUCAUUCGGCAUAAAUUGUCCGAAUGCGCGGUGCUUCGAGCAAAGAUCAAACGGCGAGAUAUCGACUAAUUGAUUUUAUUAAUUACAGGAUGGAGCGCAGGCGACGCGUGGCUCUCAUUUAAUCGAAACGCGAGUGGUCGAGCUCGCGGGAACGCUAUGUAAUUACCGAGAACGAAGGGUUUGUCGCUUUAAAAGGUCGCGUUCCAAUACGCUUUUGUAAAAAUUAAUUUCGCGUCCCCGGGGGACGGAGGCCUUGUGCCGAAUGAAAAGAGUCCUAUCUCGUGCGAUUUUAAUUAAUACGCGGCUCAUCAUGGCUCGCCAACAAGCGCGAAGCGACGUUCGUAGACGCGCGAACCUACAAAGGGGAAAGUGUUGCUUCAACUUUUCAUCGAGCACCGGCGCGUCCUUCGUCCAACGCUGUACUCGGUUGUUCCAAGAAGAGCAAUAAACGAACUCCGGCUUUUAUUCGGCAGCUCCCGCCUCGAUAAAACUUUUCAUACAUGUACGUCCUCUUUUCCUCCUUUUUUUCUCUUCUUAUACCUUCUCGACGUCUUCUGAUUCUUGGUGUGCACGGGCCGAGCGACCCGCUUAUCUCGCAUUAAUCUUGAAUUAUUAAUUCUGCAGAACGUCUAGAUAUCGUAGACUUACGAUGGGAUUUACCGGUGGCGAAACAACGUUCGAGAAACGAGCACACGCGAAAAAUUGUGAACUUCGAAGGUUCGUGAGAUGCUGAAACGAGGUUGACGCACCGCGCCGGUAAUUCUUUCGAUCGCAGAUGGAUUGUUACGAAGGUACAAGGAAACUUCAGCUUUAUUAAGUUAUUCUUUAAUGAUAAAUUUCGUUUUUCAGAUAAACAGUCUCGGUAUGUAUUCGGCAUUCUUCUUUCACUCGCGCUUCGAUGGAUUGAAAAUUGAAAGAUGCUCGUCAAGUAAAAUACGAGGGAAUUGUCUCUAACCGGUAUACGUAAUCCGUUCAACUGUUUAGACCAGAUGAAAUGUUCUACUUCAUUGAGAUUCGUGACCCACGUAGUGAUCUACGACCCACAGCCCGAGGAUACGUUGGUUGAGCGUUCGCGGAUUUGCCUCCGCUCUCGUUCUCUUAAAUAAAUUACGAUACGUAGAAAUCCACCGUAAUGUCAUGAGUGUCGCAUUUAACUGUAACUGCCAGCUGUAUUCGAUCGAUCAUAUGUUUCAGACGGGUAAACACGUAAUUUGUACGUGUCUUGAAUAUUAAUCCGAUCAUUAACGAAGCACGUUUCGACAGAUUUCUUUCGAAUCUGAACGCUAUAACCUUUGAUCUUGUACUUCUUUUUUGCUAUUCGUAAGAAGUUCUAUUUGCGUCAGAUCUUCUUGUCAGAGCGCGAAACAUUUAUCGCGUUCGGCUUGUUGAGUACGAUCAACGUACGUACAGCUUCCAACACAUCGUUUAAUUACCGUGUCGUUCAGUCAUAGUAAACGUUAAUUAUAACAAUUAUUUCGUACGAUUGAACUGAUAUUAUUAAUCAAAUUACAAGCAGAGUAACGUGCGACUCGAAGAUUUUGCGAGCCACGAGUCAGCCGAUUGUCACGUUCGGCUGAAUGAAACAAUUGUAAAAUUGCAAGAAUUGUUUUUAAAACGGUAAUCUAUAGCCUGUCGAUUUGUCGUGUCGUGAAUCCGUCGAUGUUAUUAAUUACUAAACUAUUGUGCAAAAGAUUCCAUGUAUUCACACGAGAAACUAACUCGUACUUCAUAAAAUUCGCAAAGUAUGACGGUGGUCUUGCCCGCAUAAUUAGGGUGCACGACUUGCACACGAGCUGCAAGGUUUAUGUACGAUCAUGCGGGACAAUGAUCUUUCACUCUUGGAUCACGUUGCACAACAGCUCGAGACGAGGGAGCGGUCUCUCUCAUAGGCCUCCGAAAAGACCUCCAGCAAGAUGACUCUAAUAUUUGCCGAAGGAUAUAUGUACAGCUGUUACGACAGGAUCGAUUUUAUCGCGAAUUUCAAACGAAACAAGGAAUCACGUACGUAUCGCGAUUAUCCUCUCGUACAAAGCGUUCUAUGUUUUCUUUUUUUUUUUUUUUUUGCAUUCUUAAUCGAAUCAUCAGAAAAAUUCAGGAGUCCAGAUCUAGAAAUUGGUCUAUGUAAGUUUCUACGUAACGAAUCUGGACACCUGUAAGACGUUUGGUUUUCCAGACACAUGACGAUAAACGUGUCGCAAAUCAUAAACUGUUGCAGUUAGCUAAUUACACUGUCGUAAAAGAAACGUUGUCCUUUACGCAAACGAAAAGAACUGAAAAUUGGUAGUAAUUAAUUUCAACCAUUGUGCUGCAUUUCUUUCAAAAUGUCCAUGCAACAAAGUUGCAAAAUUCAAGGAGGCACAACGAAUUCUAUGUAAAAUUAUCGUCCUCCAUGAAUGUUCGUUAAAUCUCUAUGUUUCGCUUGUGGCGUUGCUUAAACCUUAGCCAAUUCUGCUGUCUUGGAUAGAAGCGUGCUUAUUAAUUUGCACUGUCUGUCGCACGCGUGUCACGCAUCGUAUGGCAGUUCUAUGAUAUCAUUAAGAAAUGGCUUUAAAGGAUAUGCAACGUACAUCGGACAUCGCAUGGCGCGGGUAGAUGAACGAUAUACGAGGUAUCUAAAACGUGACAAACGAUAGCUCGUGACGAUGGUCUGCUGUUCGCUAAGGAGUGUACGCCUCGUAUUACGCAAGUGAAAUAUCGCUUAUCUGAUGCACGCGUGAUGACGUUACCUGGGUUAGUUGUUGCAGGUGUUACGCGUUAUGUGUCUCUUUUCGUUUCAUCUGACGUGACAGUGUGUAAACAUUUCUUAUGCACCGGAUGGCGAAUAACGCCAUUUCAUUUUUUUUUACAGCUGUAUGUACAUUCAGCGUAAAGUACAAUAUCGCUCUGCGGUCUGACUGCGAAUGGGCAUAGACUUAUUAGGCAUUUUCUGUCUGAAAUUGCACUCCAAAUUAACUGACGAAGUUCUAUCUGUUCAUACGAAACUACAGCAUUCUGUUCGAAUACGCUGCAACAACAGUGAAAAAAUUAUAGUUUUUGAUAUAUUAUUUAUAUAAACGAAUUUUUCUAUAGUUUUUCUAUACAGUAAUGUCAAUUUUUCAAAAGGCGUAAAAUUCGUUCGUUGACGUAAUUCCUCUGC